UGCGAACCAAUCCACAAAAAGUCUAUCUGGAUACGGCACACAGCCGUCAACAAUUUGCAACAAUUGUAACAUUUGGAUGAGUAGUUCUAGAACGGGGAGGGCUGGGUGGUACGGUGGGCGGCUCCUUCUCUGUGUAAUCUGAACCUGACUGCUUGCUGCGCACUUCCAUGGACAAUCUGCUGCGGUUGCAGCCUCAUGCAUUUGAGGAGAGGAGGUCCGGAGGAGGAACUUGUUUCUGCCAACUCACCUCUUCAUUGCCAUCUACCAGUUCCUGCCUUUCAUUGAGCUCUGAUGCACUUGGUUCCUGUUCCUUAUAAAUAAAUAAAAAUGUGUUAACUCAAUUGAUUAUGCCCUCUAUUUUAUGAGA